GACGUAGGGCGCGAGCGUUGUCCGGAUUUAUUGGGCGUAAAGAGCUCGUAGGCGGCUCGUUGCGUCGGCUGUGAAAACCCGCAGCUCAACUGUGGGCUUGCAGCUGAUACGGGCGGGCUGGAGUUCGGUAGGGGAGACUGGAAUUCCUGGUGUAGCGGUGAAAUGCGCAGAUAUCAGGAGGAACACCGGUGGCGAAGGCGGGUCUCUGGGCCGAUACUGACGUUGAGGAGCGAAAGCGUGGGGAGCGAACAGG
rnacentral:rRNA from 1 species